UUGUUCUGCAUUGAUCAAUUCUGUUCAGUUUUACUUUGCCUGCACUUAAACCUUGAAUAAAGAAAUUAUUCUUCAGCCUUGCUUUACCUGUGAGUCUUCCUCCACUACACUUAUUUAUUGGAAGUCAUGCACAAUGGUCUUGUACCUCCCUCAGCACUUCUCAUCUCCCAGGGCAAGAAGAAGAGAAAGAGGCAGAAACAGAAACAGCAAAAACAGAGAGAGGGUGAGGAAACUGUGUAGCUGUAAGUAAAACGAUCAAAAGGAGGAGAACAAGAGUGGAGAGAUCAAGCGGAAGCUAAGGAAAACAAGGUUAAUCCUGGAAGAAUAAAGGAGCCUGUGAAAGAAUACAUCCACCUCUUUCAUCAACCUGUUUGUUACUGAAACCCC